rnacentral:lncRNA from 1 species
UUCCAGAUAUGAUAGAUUACAAGAGAACUUAGUCUGCAGACGAACUUUAAGAAUCACAAAUGAACUUAGUAAGCUUGGGCCUUUUUAGCGAAAAACUCCCUUGCUGUACUGUUUAUGAUGGCAUGACAAUUUACAGUUUUGAAGCAUGUAUUUUUAUACCUAGGCAUACGUGCCCACUGAGUGCUUUUGUACUCAGCCCUGCAUAUAUUUUCUAAAUGUGCAGGUUGAGCUGAUGUGAUGAUGGUGCUGCAAUGAGCGGAGUCUCCAGGGUUGUUAAUAAAUAGUUAACCUGUCUAGAAUAUGUC